CAAGACGUGAGUAAGCAUUUGCACCAAUGCCACAAAGAUAUGUUGCCGCAACGCACAGCGGCGUCAGUACCAUAAGACAAAUAAAAUCUCCAGCAAUACCCUGAGGUCCAUAAGCGUUCCUGCUACUCCACCACUGAUAAAAUCUCACAGCGAUUCUUAUUCGAAGUAGACAGCCAUUUCUCUAAGCAUCCAGUAUGGACCAGUGCCAAGGUACCAGAACACUUACAAGGAUCCACUAAUUCUUCCGAAGAUCCAUCUGCAGAUCCAAGAUGUACCAUUCGGCAUACAGUGAUCUAUUUUAUCAUAUCGUUUGUGACAAGUAGACAGGAGUAUGCAGUAUCAUAAACCCAAAGAAUAUUAAUUAUAAUAAAAAUUCUUAGACAACUA